rnacentral:misc_RNA from 1 species
GGGAACAGAAGCUUCCUCUAAAGAUAAUUCAGGGUCUGCAAUGGUAUUUGGGGUUACCUGACGAAUUCUUAAGGAGACCGCAAGACAAUCUUGAUGGGUGUUUCAGAGUUGUUGAAAUGGAAGAUGGAUUGAAAGGGCUUGCUGUUGAUGUUCAUGGAAGUGAAAGGUUUUUAUCAGUGAUGCAGACGAAUGCGAUGAGGAGGGGAACGUAUAGUGGUGUGGAGGGUGAGGCAAU